AUCUCGAUCAUCCGAUUGUUGCCCCCAUGCGAUCUACGCCUUCCGCUUCCUCCCCCUUCCUCCCGACCCGCCUCUCCGCCCCGCCCGACUCCCACCCUGCGCCGCUGCAACUCCCUCGCCCGCCGCGAUGCCGCCGCCCCCUGCCCCCACGCGCCCUCCCUCCUCCGCUUUCCCCUCCAUGCGCGUGGAUCGACGAGCCGCUCGUGGAACUGCCGACCUCUACUCGUGCGAAUCGACGGGCCGCAGAGCCACCGCGUGCCGCGUCCAGAUCUCCGGCUCUCUCCGCCCCCGCAUCCUUCGCCCUGAUUUGCAGCCGCCUAAGUAACCGUCUCCCCGAUUCGCCGCCCUAGGCUCAUCCCCACCAGCGCUCAACUUCAACGAAUAAUGACCUCCUCCUUCCCUUCCCCGCGCGUCAACCCCCUCCACUUCCAAGCAGUUCUCACGUGGUAUUAGAAUAGUGAAUCCUCAUUGCACUUAUCGUUUGGCUGAUCUUGAGUUCCAGACUAACCAACAGAUCGAGUUAUUCAUGGAAAUCCUGACUAAUCAAUAGAUGGAGUUAUCCAAGGAAACCAAUUCUUGUAAUCUAGUUGUGUGUUCUGAACUCCUGAUCACGUCUGCAUCACGUGUGAGGGUAGAGAAAUACAAGACAUGAUAGGUCUGUCUAUCACCAGGUCAUCAAGGUGUCUAGAAAUGACUGACCGCCGCACACGAGGGCUCGUCCGUGCGCAUUUAGAACUGACAUCUGGUAUGCCUGUUGCGGACUCCUGCUUUGCAAAUGCCAUACACAUAUGAUCCUCCACACUAUUGGAUGGGAUGAGUCAGCCAUGACUGCAAUUUGGAUCGUACUUGAUUUGGGUUCGGUUUUUCAUAGGUUAGUUCAUCUGCAUGUAUGCAAGGGCCAACCAAAUCCAACAUUGAUUGGCUGCUUGCAAACAAAAAUAAUUGUUUCUUUCAAGUGUUGAUGGGAAUGUAAUUAGUACAAUAGUGAAUUUCUUAGCAGGCUAUAGGAAAAAUUGAUUGAAUAGUGUCAGUUAAAAAAAAUAUGUUGAUGAUAUGCAUCCUGACAUGAACAGUACUCAGGAGACUUUUGACAAAUCAGGAGCAAUUUUUGAAAUUUAAAAUAGUUAGACUGCAAUGUAGUGUCUUUUUAAAUGAGGUUGUGAUUCUCAUAGUAGUGAUGACUCUGAAUUGAAUCUAUAGAUGCUUUUGUGUUUAUUUAGGCUGGAAGAUCUUUUUCUUAGUAUAAUAAGGAUGCUUGAUUUUUAAGCCACUGAACUCCUAUGAUGGUUUAGGAUGUUAUUAUAUAAAAAAAAUAUUGUUCUAUAUCCUCUGCAGAUAUAUCAGCUAUGUUAUGAUGUUUCUUGAACUGUGAAUACUGAAUAGUUACACUUUUGCUGCCCUGCUCAUUUCAUAUCAGUAUAUCACAAUGUAUGCAAAUCGAGAUGUUUAAGUGCAAUAUCUUUGCAUAAAGUAGAAACUUUUGUCAAUUGCAUGCUUAGAUGACUAAAUUAUAAUUAGACAUAGUGUAACAGCCUGACAUUCGAGAAGGCAUAGAUAUCACUCAUAUUUAUGUACACAGGCACUCGGACAUUUUUAUGCCUUGCACCUGUGUUUUUCUAGGAGAGUAGGAUUGCAAUUUUGUAUACUUCAUUAUGCUCUAUUUUACAGUUGCAUAUAUGACAUGGAAACUGGAUGAGUGAGUGCAUUUUACCACUGCAGUCAUUAAUGGAGCUGAUUCAUCAGUAAAUGGCCUUCAUUUAGAGGUUUCUCUUUUCUUGAUAUAUAUAUUCCUGAUUGAUACAUUUUUUUUCUUUGCUGCUGGUUUCUUUGAUUGUCCAUGGCUGAGGAAGCCCGUCAAGCUGCUUCGCUCCUGGCUCGUCAGGUGUGCUUGCGACCUGUUCGACGAAAUGCCGCACCCAGCUGUCAUGGACCCCGCUCGAGCUGCAGUCCAAACAGGAGUAAUGCUCAAGCAAACAGGAGUAAUGCUCAAGCCUUACUCGUGGCUGCUUAUGGAGGAUGACGUGCACUCCAAGAGCGAGAUGAGGAGAAGAUGACCACAGCCACAGGCAAAGAUGAUACAUUCAGAUAGAGGUCAAUGCUGACAAACAGAAUGCCUGUCCGGUGACAAUGGCAUUGUCUCGACGUCCCAUCACCACCGCAUUCGCGGUGCUAGAGGGACUCAACCUCUCCGUGUGUUCCUCGCUCGCUGCGGCCAUCUCCGGUGCCAUCCUCACGGGCCUACAACAUAUGUGUUGGAGGCGGACGACGUGUUUCACGACAUCAGCGCUGGGAUCGUGAGGCCAGCUUUGGCGACAGUGAGCGAGCCCAGGAAGCUGAGACAUAAAGCUAAACAAGUGCAUCAUGAGAGGGUACAAUUACUAAUGUUGUGUCUAAAUCAGUUCAUCAUGAGAGCACAUUUGGAUAAUAAACAAUGGCUAUUUUUGCAUAUACGUGCAGAUAUCAUGAUUUGGUUAAAAGCUAAUGCGCCUCAUGUAAAAUGCAAUGAUCCUUUAAGAAAUGGAAUAAAUUCUGCGGGACUACAAUUUUAUAAAA